rnacentral:rRNA from 1 species
CCCUUAGAUGUUCUGGGCCACACGCGCGCUACAAUGGUCUUCGCAAACGGAUGCAUUCUCGAAGGAGAAUGCCAAUCUUGGAAUCUAUGCCUUGGUCGGGACAGUUGCUUGCAAUUUUUCGACUCGAACCAGGAAUUCCUUGUAAUCGUGAUUCAUCACAUCACGAUGAAUACGUCCCUGCCCUUUGUACACACCGCCCGUCGCUCCUACCGAUCGAAGAGUUAGGUGAAUUGUUUUGAUCGAUAAGAUUUGACUAUGGUCAACUCUCGUUGGGAAAUUCUGUGAAUCUGACUGUUUAGAGGAAGGAAAAGUCGUAACA